AUCCCUCAUUGUCAAAAUUAUUUCAUGAUGUUUGGUGAUUUAGAAGCAAAAUUGUAGUAUUUAACUUUAUUGUUCAACUAAAAUAAACAAGCAAAUUUAAAAUGUGUUGGCUAGCGUGGGCUGUCGCUCUAACAAUGUUUUCCUAUAUGUUUGCAAAACCCUAAAUAAAAUGAACUCAAGCAACCGCAUACUGCAAAACGGAUGAAUGAAUUGGGAUAAAGAAUAAUAACACAUCCUUUAGAUGAAUAUCUUUAUCUUAGAAAUAGAAUGUUAGUUUGAAAUAAACACCUUAUAUUAA